CUGAUAUGGCUCAGUUGGUAGAGCGCACCCUUGGUAAGGGUGAGGUCCCCAGUUCGACUCUGGGUAUCAGCAC
rnacentral:tRNA from 2 species